UACGUAGGGUGCAAGCGUUGUCCGGAAUUAUUGGGCGUAAAGAGCUCGUAGGCGGUCUGUCGCGUCUGGUGUGAAAAUCCAGGGCUUAACCCUGGACCUGCAUCGGGUACGGGCAGACUAGAGUGCGGUAGGGGAGAUCGGAAUUCCUGGUGUAGCGGUGAAAUGCGCAGAUAUCUGGAAGAACACCAAAGGCGAAGGCAGUGUCCUGGGUGGUCGCUGACGCUGAGAGGCGAAAGCCAGGGGAGCGAACGGG
rnacentral:rRNA from 1 species